AAAAUUGUUAAAGGGAUAUUUUGUGACAUGUUAAGGGGAGCACACAGCACUGCUGUCCACAGAAAUGUCCGCUUUCCAUCAGGGUUAGUGAUGGAAUUUAUCUCACACUGCAAUCAGCAGGUUUAUCCUUUUAGGGCAUGGAUACUCAAAUCUGGACCUCGAAUCCAGAUCCAGCCCUGGUUUCUUUUCCCUCUUGGUAAUUAACAUUGAAACCGACAGCUUUAUGCCGUUUAGGUGUGAGAUCAAAUAUAUGUGCUUGGAUUGUGCUUAACUGAAAGUCAAUAUAAAGUCAUUCUGAGUGAUCACCUUUAUCCUGUGAUUAAACAUUUCUGUCCUGAUGGAAGAGGUCUCUUCCAGGAUGACGAUGCCCCCAUCCACAGGGCACGAGGGGUCACUGAAUGGUUUUAUGAAUACUUUGUAUUGGUUUUUCCUUUAAUUUGUCACCCGCCUGUAUAUUCUCAAUCUUAGAAAUUAUUCUUCAGAGAUUUUCUGUUAACAUUUCUUGCAUAGUCAUGUAGACAAUUGGGUCAAAGUUGUCAUUACUGUUUGAGUCAAGUAACUUACCUUAUAUGACAUCAUGUAAUACUAAUGUACAAUAUUUUGUUUCAAAGGGAAUACACAGGGAAUGUGUAUACUGUCAUUUUGCAUUAAUUUUAAAUGCACGCUAACCACUUAACACAAAUAUUAUGUUUAUUUUUUUAACCAAAUGUAUCUAUUUAUGAUAAUUAAUAUCAGGUAACAGGAGAACCUUCAUUCCUGAUCGAGACACACAUUUGUUUUUCAUUUCUCCUUUGGAUUAAAGUAAUUAUUGUCGUGCAACGCAGAAAAUAAAGAAUUUUAAAUAAA